UACGGAGGGUGCAAGCGUUAUCCGGAUUCACUGGGUUUAAAGGGUGCGUAGGCGGGCAGGUAAGUCAGAGGUGAAAUCUCCGGGCUUAACCCGGAAACUGCCUUUGAUACUAUCUGUCUUGAAUAUGGUGGAGGUAAGCGGAAUAUGUCAUGUAGCGGUGAAAUGCUUAGAGAUGACAUAGAACACCCAUUGCGAAGGCAGCUUACUACGCCUAUAUUGACGCUGAGGCGCGAAAGCUAGGGGAGCAAACGGG
rnacentral:rRNA from 1 species